rnacentral:tRNA from 1 species
AGGAGUGUAGCUCAACUGGUAGAGCACCGGUCUCCAAAACCGGGGGUUGCGGGUUCAAGUCCUGCCACUCCUGCCA